ensembl:lincRNA D830026I12Rik RIKEN cDNA D830026I12 gene
ACUCACAAACAAGAGGUUGCCUUCUGUCCAGCCCUAGUAUGAGGCUUGCUGUAGGCUGUUAUGUAAGGUGGAGAUGGUUUUGCUCAGACAAACUUUAUUACCAGCACCAAUGAGGGGAACCGAGAAUUCUGAGCCACUGUAGCUGACAUCACAGAACUCCAGCUGCUCUGUGGACUGUAUCCUUUUCUACCUCUGUCCUUAAAAGCUAUUGGAGCCCUUAUAAAAAAAAAACUGCUGCUGUGUACUUAGAGAGCAACUCUUAUUUCGAGUGAUUCUUUUACCUGAUAAGGCAUUUGGAUAUUUAUUCCUCUAACUCGACUCCAAUCCCCCUAUCUUUUUCGUGUUUGCCCAGGUAAAGAGGAAAAAUCUCCAAUCCACUCCCAUCUGUUUGCCUCAUCCAGCAGAGCUUCCAGGCCACAGAAGGCUCAAGACUACAAUAUAAUUCCUGAGACUGCCAAGACCUUGGGUCUGUAUAACACGUGUGCCCAGUACCCAAGAAAGCCGGAAGAGGAUAUCAGAACCCCUGGACUGGCAUUACAGACAGUCCUUUUCCAUCACCUCAGUGCUGAGAACUGAACCUCAGUCCUCUGAAAGAGUAGCUAGUGCUCUUAACUGCUGAGACAUCUCUCCAGCCCCCAGAAGACCACGAGAGAAUGCCUACAAGUCACCAAGUGAAAGGCAUCUCUGAUCCUGGUUUGACACUUACAGUCUAGAAAGUUUCCAUGUGUGAUGAACAGGACCUCUGUCUCCCCUUGGGAGCUUAAGCGAGCUGUGGUAGACCACAAGAACCAAUGGAAAUACCUCAUCCUAUUUAUGCUGGAUCACAUUUCACCAUUUCUGACAGAUGCAGCUUUGGGGAAGAAUAUUAACGACCAUGGGGGACACAGUAGUUGUUUGGAGACACCCGCAAUAAAUAGCCAAGAACUAUUUC